GAUGAACGCUGGCGGCGUGCCUAAUACAUGCAAGUCGAGCGAACAGACGAGGAGCUUGCUCCUUUGACGUUAGCGGCGGACGGGUGAGUAACACGUGGAUAACCUACCUAUAAGACUGGGAUAACUUCGGGAAACCGGAGCUAAUACUGGAUAACAUGUUGAACCGCAUGGUUCAACAGUGAAAGACGGUCUUGCUGACACUUAUAGAUGGAUCCGCGCCGCAUUAGCUAGUUGGUAAGGUAACGGCUUACCAAGGCAACGAUGCGUAGCCGACCUGAGAGGGUGAUCGGCCACACUGGAACUGAGACACGGUCCAGACUCCUACGGGAGGCAGCAGUAGGGAAUCUUCCGCAAUGGGCGAAAGCCUGACGGAGCAACGCCGCGUGAGUGAAGAAGGUCUUCGGAUCGUAAAACUCUGUUAUUAGGGAAGAACAAAUGUGUAAGUAACUAUGCACGCCUUGACGGUACCUAAUCAGAAAGCCACGGCUAACUACGUG
rnacentral:rRNA from 1 species